UUAGCUCAUAUUUGUAUGGAAUGGGAUCGUUUGCCUACGUUUACCGCUAGGGGCGCUGUUCCAACUGCAUACAAAAUUGGGUUA
rnacentral:pre_miRNA from 1 species